rnacentral:lncRNA from 1 species
ACACAAAGCAAACAAGAUAUAAUUAGAACAUUACACCAACAGUGGUAAAACAAAUAUAAAAGUUUAUGAAAAUAUUCUACGCAGCGCUACGAUCACACAAACGUAAAGUUCACGAAAAUCAGAAUUAAAACAUGAAAGAUAUGAAUUUUCUAAGAUUUCCUAUAGAGAAAUAAUUAAUUAAAUGCUACUGCAGAAUUAAAAAGUUUCAAAACAGUAAACUAAUACUUCUAACAUGUAGAGUUCGAGAAUACGAAUCUAACAAAAUUUGAAUAGACAAAAACAGAGUUAAAAUGAAUAUUUUAUAAGCAAUUUAUGUUCAGUGGCAAACCUGUAAAUAACGGAAAACAAAAUUUGAACUGAGCCGAUUGGAAUACACUUUCGCAAUUGGGAAAACGUAUUUUUCUCAGGGCGCCUAGGG